GACAGAGGGUGCAAACGUUGCUCGGAAUCACUGGGCGUAAAGGGCGCGUAGGCGGGGAUGUAAGUCGGGCGUGAAAUCCCCAGGCUCAACCUGGGAACUGCACUCGAAACUGCGUUUCUUGAGUAUCGGAGAGGAAAGCGGAAUUCCUGGUGUAGAGGUGAAAUUCGUAGAUAUCAGGAGGAACACCAACGGCGAAGGCAGCUCGCUGGGACGGUACUGACGCUGAGGCGCGAAAGCGUGGGGAGCAAACAGG
rnacentral:rRNA from 1 species